ensembl:misc_RNA 7SK 7SK RNA
GAGCAGAAGCUCUGCCAGUGACAUCUGUCACUCCAUAGAUAACUAAUUUGGCUGAUCUAGCUGGCUAUGUAUGUUGUUGCCUCAUUGUCUCAUGUAUAUCCUUCCUGAAGCUUCAUACUCAGGUGAAGAGAAGAACUUUUUGUGAUACUGGAGGGUCAUUCUUGGCUCACAGUUAUGAGUAGUUGUACUUCCCUGCUAGAACCUCCAAACAAGUCUGCCAAGGUCCAUGUAUGCUCUGUAAUCUAAUGGAAAGAUUGGGGCAAUAUCUACUUGAAACAUAGCCUAAU